UUCUUUACCUUGAGUUGGGAUGAGCUUAAUUGUAUGUGAUGAAAAGGUUCAAGUUUGGGGUUGCAUUGGGGAAAUUGAAAGGCAAAUGAAAAGCAUUGAGCUCAAAUGUUGUGAAAAGAAAAAUUCACGAGAAAAAGAAAAGAAAAGAAGAAAAGCAUGAAGAUGAACUCAAUGAAAAAGAAAAGGGGAAAAAGUUGGGAAUNAGUGAGAUUGGUGAGGAAGAGAGUUGUGCUUAAAUGAUGAAUAUUAUUAUAGCUCUCUUGAUUCAAGGACUUUGCAUUCCAGAAAAACCAAGUCUUCUUGUUAGCCCAACCUCAUUACAAGGCUUGGAAAAGUCCUUUUGAUGGCAUUUGCAUGUAAGGAUUUUGAUUGUUUGAGAUGAAUGGCAAUUUUGUUUCAUGUGACUUGUGAAUAAUAGAAAGUUGGAGUGUCACCUUAAACACUUGAGUGAUUGAGUGAAACACUUGCUUGGUAUGAACUGUUACUUUUCAUGAGUGCAUUUUUGCUUAGUGGAUUGGUCAUUCAUAAUGUGU
rnacentral:lncRNA from 1 species